CUCGUCGGGGAGGCUCAGGCUGCGCAGGCGCCCACCGCGGGGAGGCGGGGCGGGGAGACUGAGGCAUGGCGGGAUGCAGGUCCCAAGCCCUUCCCCGCGGGGAGGCAGCUAAGGCCCGGCAAGAAAUCGAGCACAGCAGCUGCUAGCGCAGGUGCUAAGCCCCUCACUGCCCGGGGCUUGCGGGCCGGCCUGCUGCUCCGAGUGCUGGGCCAGCCGAGCCCACGCCCCCCCGGAACUGGCGCUGGCCCGCAAGCGCCGCGCGCAGCCCCAGUUUCCGCCCGCGCCUCUCCCUCCACGCCUCCUCGCAAGCUGAGGGAGUCGGCUCCGGCCUUGGCCAGCCCAGAAAGGGGCUCCCACAGUGCAACGGUGGGCUGAAGGGCCAGAGUGGGCGCCAAGGGCGAGGAGGCGCCGAGAGCGAGUGGGGGCUGCCAGCACGGUGUCACCUCUCACCAGUAGUUGUGAUUUUUGCUGUCACCCCCAUGGAUUAUGAAUUCACUUUGUCUGGGUAACAGUGGAAACCCUCGGAAGUUGUUUCCACUGUUUCAUCUAAAAGAAGUCGCCAAAACGAAGUUUUCUCAGUGCCAAAGCAUGGACUCAGUGACUGGCAAUGUUUGGGAUUGCAGAGGCUCCAGUAGCCUGGGAAGGAACAGUGGCAAUUAGAGAUUAGAUUACUUGCCUUUGGUCACAAAGGUAGCAAAUUCAGAUCUGGAAUUCUUUACUUGGGCAAUCUGACUUCAGAGAUCUUCUAAACCACUAUACUACACCUACUCCUGAAACUGAAAUGAGAGCAGUUUAAGAAUUUUACCUAAAGUCACCGUGCAAGGGGGAUGAGCUCCAGGGACUGUCAUUUUUCACAGGUCACCCUAAAGAAAUAGAACCAGAAGAUUGCAGAAUUGCGGCCUUCGAUUCUCCUCUCUAAGUAGACUGAGUACACUUGAAGACAACAAUAUGGGCAUUCAUUAGAUGGAAUUUGGAAGACAAAGCUGAGGUUAAAAAUUACAUUUCUUUUGACUAAACUUAGGCAGGACAUUUAGUCUAGCGUUCACCACAGGUCUCAUUGGUCCCUACUACCUGUACCAGACUUUCCACAGGCACACUAUAUGCGUGGCCAUUAAGGUUUUUAGUUUGCAUUCCCAGGAAUAAAUUGAUUUCUCACUUUGAUAACAUGCUGUGCUACUUCUGGCUUUUACAUUAAAACCCUUAGAGGAUGAUAAGUAUGGUUACAGAACACAUUGUCUGAGUUUCAGAUCUGGCUUAUUCACUUAAUAAAUGCUAUAGUUUGGAUAUUCAUCCACCCCCCGAUAUCUCGCAUUGAAAUUUAAUCCUCAUUGAUGGAAAUGAGGCCUAAUUGGAGCUGUUUGGGUCAUGUGGGUGGAUUCCUCAUGAAUGGCUUGACAUCGUCCUCAAAGUAAUGAGCGAGUUCUUGCUCUGUUAGUUCCCAUGAGAGCUGGUUGUUAAGAAGAGCCUGGCACCUCCACUCUCUUUCUCUUGCUUCCUAUCUCACCGUGUGAUCUCUGCACAGUUGACCCCACUUUGUCUUCUGCCAUGAGUAGAAGCAGCCUGAGUCCCUCAACAGAAGCCAAGCAGAUGCUGGCACCAUGCUUCUUGUACAGCCUACACAACAUGAGCCAAAUAAAGCUAUUUUCUUUAUAAAUUACCCAGCCUCAGGUAAUCCUUGAAAGCAAUACUAAAUGGACUAAAACAGUAACUAUGUGACUACUUUAUACCAG
rnacentral:lncRNA from 10 species